rnacentral:lncRNA from 1 species
UGCAGAAAAGGAGAAGGAUGGAAUACAGGAGAUACUGUUAUAAUCCCAGGUUACAUAGUAAUGACCAGAUGCAAAGAAGAGACUGUCCUGCAUGAAACAGAACAUUUUUGGAUGUGAUCCAUCCAUUAAUUUAGUAAUUUAGGUAAAAACUGACAUUGGACCAAGCUUUCAAAACUGUUUGUUCAUUGAAUUUGUGCAGGUGAUCUGAGUGAAUGUACGAGUCCUAUGUGUACUACAUGCCUACUUACCAUGGUGCUUCAGAUAUCGUUUUUACGUAUGAGUAAGUAAGGUACAAUUUCUUGAAGUUUCCUGUGCGUCUUCUGUGGCCUCUGCCUUCGUAGUCUUUUUGUUGUGCUGUUGUGGUUUUUUUGUUUGUUUGUUUUUUUGCCUGAACCAUUUAUGCCUUUUCUUGCCAGGAUGGAUAUUUUGUGGAAGGCUCUGCACUGGAUCCUGACUUUGCUUGUCACACCAUUGAAGCAUGCAUAGCCCCACUUUUAUGGUGGGAAAUGGCUCCUUACUGCUUAAUAGGCAAUCCAUGAAGACAGCUGCAGUUUCUACACGUCCCUUUCCCAGAAUAGCAGCAGGCUGUUAG